GACGAACCGAGCGAACGUUGUUCGGAAUCACUGGGCUUAAAGGGCGCGUAGGCGGGCUGCCAAGUCUGGGGUGAAAUCCUCCGGCUCAACCGGGGAAGGGCCUUGGAUACUGGCGGUCUGGAGGGAGGUAGGGGCGUGCGGAACUGUCGGUGGAGCGGUGAAAUGCGUUGAUAUCGACAGGAACUCCGGUGGCGAAGGCGGCACGCUGGACCUUUUCUGACGCUGAGGCGCGAAGGCCAGGGGAGCAAACGGG
rnacentral:rRNA from 1 species